rnacentral:rRNA from 1 species
GGUCCGGACACUGUGAGGAUUGACAGAUUGAUAGCUCUUUCUUGAUUCGGUGGUUGGUGGUGCAUGGCCGUUCUUAGUUGGUGGAGUGAUUUGUCUGGUUUAUUCCGAUAACGAGCGAGACUCUAGCCUACUAAAUAGUUACUGGAUAAUUGGGUCCAGCAUACUUCUUAGAGGGACAAGCGGUGUUCAGCCGCACGAAGAUGAGCAAUAACAGGUCUGUGAUGCCCUUAGAUGUCCAGGGCUGCACGCGCGCUACACUGGAGGAAUCAGCGUGCUGUAACCAUUUUCGAAAGGGAUUGGUAACCCCCUGAAAAUCCUCCGUGAUCGGGACCGGGAAUUGCAAUUAUUU